AAAAAAAACAUAAAGAAUAAAAAAAAAAUCAAAAAAAAAAAAAAAAACAGAAAUCCCAUCAUACCAUUGAAUCAUCUUACGAGAUAUAUACAUAUGUACAUAUUUGUAUGGUCCACGUAUUUGUCAUGCUAGCGAAUAGGCAUUUCACACGCCAUUCAUAACUGACAACGCAUACGCAAAAGUAUGAGAUUAGUUAACCAAAAAAAAAGAGAGGAAAAAAAAAAAAGAAAACGGAUAAAGAAAAAUUCGAAGAAACAUGGAAUUCAUGAAAUUUUCGUAUUACAACGAUAACGACAAUAUAAUACGAUAUAUGAACACCCGAAUACAUUUUUUAACAGAUACAUAUAUACAUACUUGUGUACAUUCUAUAGGCGUAUAUACGUUCCACCUAUUAAAGUUCUAGGCCAUGAUGCAAGAGACAAGAUCACACUUAAAAUUCAAUACGAGGCCUACGUUAGUCGUACUAAUCUUAGCUACGUUAUUAUAUCAUUUUUAUUAUUUCGGAAGGAAUGGUAAAUCCAACGAAUUUCGUUUGGAACUCGUACAAGUAUUAUUUAGACAUGGAGAACGAACACCCCUUGCUAAAGAAAUGUAUCCUAAUGAUCCUUAUUAUGGAUCAAAUUACGAACCAUGGAGUGUCGCUCAAUUGACAAAUGUAGGAAAAAUGCGUGAAUAUUCAAUCGGAAAAAUGUUGAGAGAACGUUACAACGAUUUCUUGGGUGAUUUAUAUCGCCCUAAAGAUGUAUAUGCUCGUAGCACGGAUAUCGAUCGGACUAAAGCGUCUCUAUACUUAGUUUUAGCAGGUCUUUAUCCACCAUCAAAAGAACAGAAUUGGAAUCCAAAUUUACCAUGGUUAGCUAUUCCCACGCAUUAUGCUCCAGAAAGGGUGGAUAAUUUGUUAAGACCUCAAGCUUGUCCAAUAUACGAAAAAGCUUUAGAAGAAGUUAGGGAAUUGCAGGAGGUACGUGAGAAAAGUGCAGUUUAUACGGACGUAUUAAAAUAUCUUACAGAAAAAACUGGUAUGGAAGUUAAAACUUUAUCGGCGGCUUACGAAAUUUUUAAUUUAUUGACAGCACAGAAAAAUUUGAAUUUAACGUUACCAGAAUGGUGUACCGAGAAUAUUUAUAAAAAGAUGGAGGAUAUCGUAUUUCUCGAAUACGAAAUUCGUUCGUAUACGCCAAAAUUGAAACGUUUAACUGGCGGCAUGUUAAUCAGGAAAUUUAUUGAAAAUAUGAAUAUAAAUGGGAAACAAAAGAAUCCUCGGAAAAUUUAUCUUUAUAGUGGUCAUGAAAUUAAUAUUGCAGCUUUUACAAGAGCACACGACAUUCAUAUACCUAAAUUACCUAGUUAUGGUUCGACAAUUAUAGUAGAAAAAUUACGUAAUACGGAAGGAAAACUUUUCAUUAAGAUGCUUCUUUGGACUGGCGUUACUGAAGAAUUAAUUACACUUAAACUUAAAAAUUGUGAUGAAAUUUGCCCAAUAGAUACAUAUUUAGAAAUUGUGAAAGACAUUAUUCCUUCUGAUGAUGACACAAAUUGCUACUGGAAUACAAUAACAAAAGAAGAAUUAAAAAAUCUAUACACCGAUAAAAUAUAUCUCAAUUAAUGUAUAUAAUUUUACACAUAGUAUUUUUAUAAAUAUUAUCUUUUUCUUAAAUUAAAAUUAUUCCGAUUAUAUGCAAUAUUAUCGAGGCAAUUAAAUCUUAUUAGGUGAUUGGAUGAGCAGUCGAAGUUUAUUGGUGAAAUGAGAUCCAAUCAUCGUCGAGAUAGAUAUAUCUUACGCUAAUCAAUAUUAUCAUUUGUUAUUCCGAGCAAUAGCAUACGUAUUACUUAACCUGUACAAAUAAUAUUAAUAAAAUCAAACAAAAUUAUAUAUAGAA